GCGAAGGUGGUUCAGUGGUAGAGUGCUUGCCUUGCAUGCAUGAGGCCUUGGGUUCGAGUCCUCAGCUGCCACA
rfam:Dipodomys ordii contig_20713, whole genome shotgun sequence.